UUUAUUGGAGAGUUUGAUCCUGGCUCAGGAUGAACGCUGGCGGCGUGCCUAAUACAUGCAAGUCGAGCGAAUGGAUUAAGAGCUUGCUCUUAUGAAGUUAGCGGCGGACGGGUGAGUAACACGUGGGUAACCUGCCCAUAAGACUGGGAUAACUCCGGGAAACCGGGGCUAAUACCGGAUAACAUUUUGAACCGCAUGGUUCGAAAUUGAAAGGCGGCUUCGGCUGUCACUUAUGGAUGGACCCGCGUCGCAUUAGCUAGUUGGUGAGGUAACGGCUCACCAAGGCAACGAUGCGUAGCCGACCUGAGAGGGUGAUCGGCCACACUGGGACUGAGACACGGCCCAGACUCCUACGGGAGGCAGCAGUAGGGAAUCUUCCGCAAUGGACGAAAGUCUGACGGAGCAACGCCGCGUGAGUGAUGAAGGCUUUCGGGUCGUAAAACUCUGUUGUUAGGGAAGAACAAGUGCUAGUUGAAUAAGCUGGCACCUUGACGGUACCUAACCAGAAAGCCACGGCUAACUACGUGCCAGCAGCCGCGGUAAUACGUAGG
rnacentral:rRNA from 1 species